UCCCUGGCAGUCCAGUGGUUAGGACUUGGCACUUUAACUGCUGGGGUCCAGGUUCAAUGCCUGGUUGGGGAA
rfam:Ovis aries breed Texel chromosome 8, whole genome shotgun sequence.